rnacentral:rRNA from 1 species
CUACGGGACGCUGCAGUGAGGAAUAUUGCACAAUGGGGGGAACCCUGAUGCAGCAACGCCGCGUGGAGGAUGACGCAUUUCGGUGUGUAAACUCCUUUUAUAUGUCAAGAAAAUGACGGUAGCAUAUGAAUAAGCACCGGCUAACUCCGUGCCAGCAGUCGCGGUAAUACGGAGGGUGCAAGCGUUACUCGGAAUCACUGGGCGUAAAGGACGCGUAGGCGGGUUGGAAAGUCAGGUGUGAAAUCCUACAGCUUAACUGUAGAACUGCACUUGAAACUUCUAAUCUAGAGUAUGGGAGGGGAAGAUGGAAUUAGUGGUGUAGGGGUAAAAUCCGUAGAUAUCACUAGGAAUACCUAAAGCGAAGGCGAUCUCCUGGAACAUUACUGACGCUAAGGCGUGAAAGCGUGGGGAGCAAACAGGAUUAGAUACCCUUGUAGUC